GGGGCUGAUAUGGCUUCGACGGAUUUAAUAAAAUAUAAAUGGCAAGUCGUAGGCAUACGUUAAAUGCAAACAAAUUUAACUGGAAACAGAAAUCAAUUAGCUUUUGCUUAAUAAACAGGCAUAGCGCUUCUUAUAUUUUCUUACCUGUGGAAAAUAUUUGAGGCUUAUUUAUACAGGUUAUAUUUCUUUUUUGUUUAGGGAAAGAAAAGAAUAAUACUAAACUAAUUAUAUAAUUAUUUGUUAAUUAAUUAUUUAUAUAAUAAAAAGAGUAAUUAACUAAACUUGUAGAAAUUUAUAUAUAUAGUUAUUUUCGGACAGGGGUUCAAUUCCCCUCAGCUCCACCA
rnacentral:tmRNA from 1 species